AAAAGGUUCAAAAUUAAAUUAUGUUCAUGUAUUAUACUGUGAUUACUAUUAUAAUGUAAAAAGUUAUUGAUUCUGAUGUCUUUUUUUAUUCAACAAUAAAUGACACUAAAAUGUGUUUAAAAGAAUUGUGUUAAUAUCUGCUUAUUUGACUAGAAAUAUUGUUAAAAAACCGCCAUUAAACAAAAAAUAUAAAUAUAUUUAAAUAUUUUCAUGUUGCAAUGCUCAAUAAAAUUUUACCCCAACUGCUUAUGUAGUUUAAUUUAAAAUAUAAGCCACUGAGUUACUAAGUGAUUUAAAUAUGUACUUAAUAGAUUAUUAUGAAAUUAAUACACAACAAAAAAAAGUUAUCGUUAACUUGGCUGUAAACUUUAAUGUUAAUUAUUUAUGUUAAUUAAAUUUUGUAAAAUAAAUUUUUGACAGAAAUAGUAAAAAUUUAUGUGUAUUACUGUAUUAGAAAUGAUUUGAGAAAAAAAUUACUAAAUGUGUAUGUAUCUUAUACCUUACGAUAUUAAAGUUAUAAAUCAUACUACAGUGGAUUUUGUUUAUAAGAUUCAUUGAUAUAAGGUUCAGUCAGA